rnacentral:ribozyme from 1 species
CAAGUUUACUAUCUUAAUUCGAACGUGCCCCGUUGGCUUUGAUUAUAUCAGGGGUCCCUUAAUAAAGAAUAGGCGGUUAUGUACGAUGAAACCAGGGAAUGUAA